UCCGCCUCCCCAUGUCCCAAAAGAGGAAACUGGGCUGGAGAAAGUUUCGCAGCCCAAGGACGCGUGGCUGGAAGUGGCAGAACCCGGGCUUCCGAGGUUGGGCGAGUGGGGUCCUCCAAGGCCCUCAGCACGGGUCGGAGGGAUUGGGACUGAACCCGCCAUCCCCCUGGACCUUGGUGCCCUCCAAGCCCCGCGCUCGCGCCCUGUCCGUCGCCUCCCCCAGAGAUGCUCUGCAGGGACGAUGAGACCUUGGUGUUCCCC
rnacentral:lncRNA from 10 species